rnacentral:rRNA from 1 species
AUUGAACGCUGGCGGCAGGCCUAACACAUGCAAGUCGAGCGAGCGGCGGACGGGUGAGUAAUGUAUGGGGACUGCCCGAUAGAGGGGGAUAACUACUGGAAACGGUGGCUAAUACCGCAUACUAUCGGAUAACCCAUAUGGGAUUAGCUAGUAGGUGGGGUAAAGGCUCACCUAGGCGACGAUCUCUAGCUGGUCUGAGAGGAGGAUCAGCCACACUGGGACUGAGACACGGCCCAGACGCGUACGGAGGGAGCAGUGGGGAAUUUUGUACAAUGGGGGAAAGCCUGAUGCAGCCAUGCCGCGUGUAUGAAGAAGGCCUUAGGUUUGUAAAGUACGUUUAGCAGGGAGGCGUUACCCGCAGAAGAAGCACCGGCUAACUCCGUGCCAGCAGCCGCGGUAAUUC